AAGUCGUAACAAGGUUUCCGUAGGUGAACCUGCGGAAGGAUCAUUAAAAAAAUGAGGUAUUUUAUACCUCUUGUAUUUAAAACCCAACUCUUUAAAAUAUUUUUUUUUAAAUAAAAAAAAACUUUCAACAAUGGAUCUCUUGGCUCUC
rnacentral:misc_RNA from 1 species